GAUCAGAUCCAACAUCCCCCCCCUCUCCAUUGCUCUUCAUUUACUGCUGUUUCUGAGCCAAUGGGAAUGAAUGAGGGGCGGGGCUAGUCCGCCAACCAAUGGACGUGAACGAAGUGCUUUGCGCAUGCGCCAUCGCAGCGGACCCGUUCCUGCGAAGAUGGCGGCAUCUAAGUCGGGUCCGAUGAGAGCAAGACCCUGAGAAGCUGCCGCCAGAUUAAAUACCGUAAAGGGAGUUAGAAGAUUUGAAGACUGAGAUUUUUAUUUGCCUCCAGUGUUUCUGAUUUCUCUCAAGAAUUUGGAUCCAGCCAGGGAUUUUAAAAUUGAAGGCAAUGAACUUGUUUCAGAGAUUUCCAGCACCUGCAGAAUUUACAACCAAGUCUGCAAACACAGACGGAUCUAUUAGGAGCAAGAACACAAGCAGCAGUAUUUUGGAUUGCCUCAAAAUUAGUGAGAAGUUGAAUAUGUGAGGCCAGCUGGGAGUGCUUUAAUGGAAGAUAUUUCUCCUCCUCCAAUUCUGCACGUCAGACCAGUGUGAGAUUUGGAUGGAACUUAAGAGAUGAUGGUGUCCACACACAUCUCCUCCCCGGUCCUUCGAGAGAGUGAAGGCUGAGAGUUUGGAAAAUUCUGUCCAAGUUCUGGGCAAGCUGUUUCAGAGGGUGCCAGAGGAGGAGGAAUUACAGUCAGGGUUCACAGAUCCAGCUUCACCUCAGAAUCUGAUGGGGGCUUUCAAUGUAUCACAACCAGAAUGUAAUUGGAUUUUGAACGUGGAAGGAACAAGCAUAGUUCGUAAUGAAGAGAAAUCCUACACACGUUCUGUGCGUCGACAAAGCUUCAACCAGUCAUCUGAUCUGUGGUGACACAAGUGCAGUCACAAUGGGGAGAAGCCAUGGAAAUGUAAGGAUUAUGAUGAAGGAUUCAAAUCCCUGCCUGAGCUGGAGACCCAUCAGAACAGUCACACUGGGGAAGAGGCCAUUCACUUGCUCAGAGUGUGGGGAAGGAUUCAUUCGGUCAUUCCAACUCAUGACCCACCAGCGAGUUCACACUGGAGAGAGACCUUUUAAAUGCACACAAUGUGCAAAGUGCUAUAAAUGUUCUGACAAACUGCUGUCCCAUCAAUGUGUUCACACUGACGAGAGACUGUUCAGAUGCUCUCACUGUGGGAAGGGUUCAAAUCAUCAUCUGAAGUCACUGUCCACCAGAGAAUUCACACUGGGGAAGAGGCCAUUCACCUGCACUGUGUGGGAAUUGAUUUGUUCGGUCAUCACACCUCACAGGACGCCAGUGAGUUCACUCUGAGGAGAGAUCUUUUAAUUGCGCAAUCUGCCGGAAGUGCUUUAAAAGUUCUCAGGAAAUGAUGCACCAUCAACGUGUUCACACCGAGGAGAAACCGUUCAGGUGCUCUCACUGUGGGACUGGGUUUAAGCAUUCAUCUCAUCUCACUGUCCACCAGUGAAUUCACACCGGGGAAAAGCCGUUCACCUGUACUGAGUGUGGGAAAGGAUUCAUUCGGUCAUCCCAACUCAUGACACACCAGCAAGUGCACACUGGGAAGAGACCUUUUAAUUGUCCAGUCUGCAGGAAAAGCUUUAAAUGUUCUCAGGAAAUAAUGACCCAUCAACAUGUUCACACUGGGGACCAAUCUUCUAAAUGCCCAGACUGCAGUAAGCCCUAUAAGAGUUCUCGCUGAGGAUCCAUCAAUAUGUUCACACUCAGGAAAGACUUUUCAGAUGCCCUCACUGUGGGACUGCAUUCAAGCUAUCAUCUUACCUCACUGAGCACCAGUGAAUUCACACUGAGGAGAGGCCGUUCACCUGCACUGAGUGUGGGAAAGGAUUCACUUAGACAGCCCGCCUGCUGACUCACUUCACACGGAACCACAGGAGUUGGACUUUGCUGUUAGUCACUUCCAGGACUGAACUAUGUUCAUCGGUUAAUAAACUCCAGCUCAGUUUUAGCUGUUAAUAUUCUGGAUAAAAAAAAAAUAAAUCAGCUUUAUAAUUAAA